UACAGAGGGUGCGAGCGUUGUCCGGAAUCACUGGGCGUAAAGGGCGCGUAGGUGGCGACCCAAGUCGAUGGUGAAAGCUCGCCGCUCAACGGCGAGUCGGCCACUGAUACUGGGUUGCUGGAGCACUGUAGAGGCAGAUGGAAUUCCGGGUGUAGCGGUGAAAUGCGCAGAUAUCAGGAAGAACACCCGUGGCUAAGGCGGCCCUCUAGUACGGUACUGACGCUGAGACGCGAAAGCGUGGGGAGCGAACAGG
rnacentral:rRNA from 1 species